rnacentral:rRNA from 1 species
UACGUAGGGGGCUAGCGUUGUCCGGAUUUAUUGGGCGUAAAGAGCGUGUAGGCGGCCAGGUAGGUCUGGUGUGAAAACUCGAGGCUUAACCUCGAGAUGUCAUCGGAAACCAUCUGGCUAGAGUCCGGAAGAGGAGAGUGGAAUUCCUGGUGUAGCGGUGAAAUGCGCAGAUAUCAGGAAGAACACCAAUGGCGAAAGCAGCUCUCUGGUACGUGACUGACGCUGAGACGCGAAAGCGUGGGGAGCGAACAGG